rnacentral:lncRNA from 1 species
AUGCCAUCUUCUCCUUCUCCUAUCUCCCCAGUGCCCAAGUGUUGGGCGUCCCACUUUCCCAUGCGCCCAAGAUGUUGGGUAAUCUCUUCUACAUCAAAGAAUAGGAAGAAAGGAUAUAGUUCAGGUGUUGAGAUCAUGGACAAAGAUCAAUGGAUGAUCAAAGAUCCAAAAGAUUGAGAUUUAUCUUGGAGAAGAUGGAUCUAGAAUGAGAAAAAAGAUUCAAGAUUGAUCCCAAUGGAUAUCUGUAGAGGUCGGACGCGUGUGCGGCUCAAGAAUCUUCAGAUCUAUGAUCAUCGACUAGGUAUAUUUCGACCCACGUAAGGUAUUGA